CAGUCGCCGCGGUAAUACGGAGGGGGCUAGCGUUGUUCGGAAUUACUGGGCGUAAAGCGCACGUAGGCGGCUGUGUAAGUCAGAGGUGAAAGCCCGGGGCUCAACCCCGGAAUAGCCUUUGAGACUGCAUAGCUUGAACACGGGAGAGGUGAGUGGAAUUCCGAGUGUAGAGGUGAAAUUCGUAGAUAUUCGGAAGAACACCAGUGGCGAAGGCGGCUCACUGGACCGUUGUUGACGCUGAGGUGCGAAAGCGUGGGGAGCAAACAGGAUUAGAUACCCGCGUAGUCCCUGUCUCUUAUAC
rnacentral:rRNA from 1 species